UUAUUCACUAGGUAGUCAACCGUAUACAAAGAGCAGCAGAAAAGUCUAUAGACUUUUUGAAUCUUUUGUAGUGAUUAUAUUCUCAUUAGUAACCAUUAGUAUAUACAUACAACCGAAAACCCAAGGUUAUCUGCGAAACAAAAUAGGCGCAGAGUGAAACGGUCUGUUAGAUAAAUUCUUUUUUAUCGAUCAGUAAAAACAUAGUAAUACAUUGUAUAUUUUAAUCUUUGUAUUUAUACACAGGAGUAUGUUUCAUAACUAUUUAAUAUAAGAUUUUACGAUACUAUUUUCUAUUUUAACUUUUUGUCUCUAGCCCAAACAAAGAGUACUUAAGUAAAAAGUU
rnacentral:rRNA from 1 species